rnacentral:rRNA from 1 species
GACCGUGCAAAGGUAGCAUAAUCAUUUGCCUUAUAAUUGAAGGCUAGUAUGAAUGGUUUGACGAGAAUUAAGCUGUCUCUUUUUAACUAAAUAUAACUUUAUUAAUAGGUGAAGAAGCCUAUGUUUAAUUGAAAGACAAGAAGACCCUAUCGAGCUUUAAGAAAUUUAAUAGACUUACCAUAUAUUUAUAAAAAAGUAAAGCUGUUAAAAACUUUGGUUGGGGCGACUGAGGAACAAAUAAAGCUUCCUUUAAGUAAAGAAAACUUACAAGUAUUGAUCCAACAAAUUUGAUUAAAGGAAUUAGUUACCGUAGGGAUAACAGCAUAAUCCCUUUUGAGAGUCCUCAUCGAAAAGGGGGUUUGUGACCUCGAUGUUGGACCAGAAUACCCAGAAGAUGCAGCCGUCUUCAAUGGUUGGUCUGUUCGACCAUUAAAAUUCUACGUGAUCUGAGUUCAGACCGGCGUGAGCCAGGUCAGUUUCUAUCUUCAAUUUUUAUAGUGGCCUUAGUACGAAAGGACCAGGCUAUUACAAAAUUAUUUGUAGUAUUUUGAUUAAAUAUAAAGUUCGAUUGAAUCUAUAAAUAUCAAAUUAGCAAAGAUAAUGCAAUUGACUUAGGAUCAAUAGACAUAGGUGGAACCCCUUUAUUUGAUAUAAAUAAAGAUGGCAGAAAAA